GACGAACGCUGGCGGCGUGCUUAACACAUGCAAGUCGAACGGAAAGGCCCUGCUUUUGUGGGGUGCUCGAGUGGCGAACGGGUGAGUAACACGUGAGUAACCUGCCCUUGACUUUGGGAUAACUUCAGGAAACUGGGGCUAAUACCGGAUAGGAGCACCUGCUGCAUGGUGGGGGUUGGAAAGUUUCGGCGGUUGGGGAUGGACUCGCGGCUUAUCAGCUUGUUGGUGGGGUAGUGGCUUACCAAGGCUUUGACGGGUAGCCGGCCUGAGAGGGUGACCGGCCACAUUGGGACUGAGAUACGGCCCAGACUCCUACGGGAGGCAGCAGUGGGGAAUAUUGCACAAUGGGCGGAAGCCUGAUGCAGCAACGCCGCGUGCGGGAUGACGGCCUUCGGGUUGUAAACCGCUUUCGCCUGUGACGAAGCGUGAGUGACGGUAAUGGGUAAAGAAGCACCGGCUAGCUACGUG
rnacentral:rRNA from 1 species